AGAAUCAACGCUGGCGGCGUGCCUAACACAUGCAAGUCGAACGAGAAAGUGGUAGCAAUACCAUGAGUAAAGUGGCGCACGGGUGAGUAACACGUGACUAACCUACCCUUGAGUGGGGGAUAACUGAGGGAAACCUUAGCUAAUACCGCAUAAUACCCACGGGUCAAAGGAGCAAUUCGCUCGAGGAGGGGGUCGCGGCCGAUUAGUUAGUUGGCAGGGUAAUGGCCUACCAAGACGAUGAUCGGUAUCCGGCCUGAGAGGGCGCGACGGAACGACGACUGGAACGUGAACACGGUCCAGACUCCUACGGGAGGCAGCAGUGGGGAAUUUUGCGCAAUGGGGGAAACCCUGACGCAGCAACGCCGCGUGGAGGAUGAAGUCCCUUGGGAUGUAAACUCCUUUCGAUCGGGACGAUUAUGACGGUACCGGAAGAAGAAGCACCGGCUAACUCUGUGCCAGCAGCCGC
rnacentral:rRNA from 1 species